rnacentral:sRNA from 1 species
CUUUACUUCAUUGGGGAGUAGCCGCUUUUUACUCAUUUCUGUUUCAACUGAAUGUAGUAAAAAGGUGAUGGUCAACAUAUUUGUUCCACAGAACAUGGUCAUCAUAGCAAAGAACCAAGUCAGCUUUAUCAAGCUUUCUUUUGUUGGCAAGACCUUUGAU